CAGCAGAAAAAGAUAGUCGGAAGCGAUAUAUAUAGAUAAUCAUAGAUGUAAAAACAAAACAACUAAAUAACUUCUGUAUAUUCUUAUGUGUUUGAAUUGCUAUAAAAGCGUAUUACGGCAAGUCAUGAUAGCGCACCCAUUUCCUUGUCGUAAAGGAUUUUUCGUUUUCUUCUAAGUUGUUAAGGUUAAGAUUUUUUGUGCUGAAGUGCAUAAUUUUAUAAGAAAUAUGAUCAUGGCAAAUGCAAAAAAUUUCAGUGUGUUUCGCUUAGAUUUAUUUAAAAAGAAAGUUGCAAUUGUGACUGGUGGGGGAACAGGAAUAGGAAAAGCAAUUAGUACUGAACUUUUAUACUUAGGUUGUAAAGUGGUUAUUGCUUCAAGGAAAGAAGAACAACUUCUGAAAGCUGCUGAGGAAAUGAAGAAUACGUUAAAAGAAAAGUCUCCUGAUGUUACAAGCAUUGUCUGCAAUAUAAGAAAAGAGGAAGAGGUUAAAAAUUUAGUUCAAGCAACUUUGGCCAAGUAUGAAAGAAUUGAUUUUUUGAUUAACAAUGGAGGUGGACAAUUUCUCUGUCCAGUUGGUGAUCUAACCACUAAAGGAUGGGAUGCUGUCAUAGAAACAAAUUUAAAGGGUCCAUUUUUGAUGUCCAGGGCAGUAUAUGAUAAAUGGAUGAAAGACAAUGGUGGUGUAAUCAUCAAUAUAUUGAUGGAUUUUGAAAGAGGUACACCAAUGAUGGCGCAUUCAGGAGCUGCUCGAAGUGGAUUAGAUAAUUUGACAAAAUCUUUAGCAAUUGAAUGGGCAUCGAAUGGCAUAAGAGUUAAUGCUGUUGCUCCUGGUUCUUCCAUAUAUUCUGAAACAGCUGCUAAGAAUUAUCCAAUUAAUGUUUUUGAUAUGGUUAGUGAAAAUAUUCCUUCUAAACGCCUCGGGGUGCCUGAAGAAAUAUCAUCUGCUGUUUGUUUUUUGCUUUCUCCUGGUGCAUCAUUUAUUACGGGGGAAACACUUCAUGUUGAUGCUGGUGGAAGACUUUAUUCUCCUCUACUGUGGAAAGUUCCUGGUGCUGUUUAAAACCACUUAAGGUGAAAUAGGGUUAAUUCUUAGAAGUGUAAACAUUAACGCAAGAUCAUGAUAAUUUACCAGUGUUUGAUGGAGAAAAGUCUAAACUGUGAUUGGGGUAUAUUUAUUAAAAAAUUAUAUUA
rnacentral:misc_RNA from 1 species